AUUGAACGCUGGCGGCAGGCCUAACACAUGCAAGUCGAGCGGAUGAACGGAGCUUGCUCCUGGAUUCAGCGGCGGACGGGUGAGUAAGUCCUAGGAAUCUGCCUUGUAUUGGGGGAUAACGUCCGGAAACGGGCGCUAAUACCGCAUACGUCCUGAGGGAGAAAGUGGGGGAUCUUCGGACCUCACGCUAUCAGAUGAGCCUAGGUCGGAUUAGCUAGUUGGUGGGGUAAAGGCCUACCAAGGCGACGAUCCGUAACUGGUCUGAGAGGAUGAUCAGUCACACUGGAACUGAGACACGGUCCAGACUCCUACGGGAGGCAGCAGUGGGGAAUAUUGGACAAUGGGCGAAAGCCUGAUCCAGCCAUGCCGCGUGUGUGAAGAAGGUCUUCGGAUUGUAAAGCACUUUAAGUUGGGAGGAAGGGCAGUAAGUUAAUACCUUGCUGUUUUGACGUUACCAACAGAAUAAGCACCGGCUAACUUCGUG
rnacentral:rRNA from 1 species